GGCCGGGAACGUCAAAGGAGACUGCCAGUGAUAAACUGGAGGAAGGUGGGGAUGACGUCAAGUCAUCAUGGCCCUUACGACCAGGGCUACACACGUGCUACAAUGGCGCAUACAAAGAGAAGCGACCUCGCGAGAGCAAGCGGACCUCAUAAAGUGCGUCGUAGUCCGGAUUGGAGUCUGCAACUCGACUCCAUGAAGUCGGAAUCGCUAGUAAUCGUGGAUCAGAAUGCCACGGUGAAUACGUUCCCGGGCCUU
rnacentral:rRNA from 1 species